rnacentral:rRNA from 1 species
UACGGAGGGUGCGAGCGUUGUCCGGAAUCACUGGGCGUAAAGGGCGCGUAGGUGGCCCGAUGAGUCAACGGUGAAAGCUCGGCGCUUAACGCCGAGUCGGCCGUCGAUACUGUCGGGCUCGAGCACUGUAGAGGCUCAUGGAAUUCCGGGUGUAGCGGUGGAAUGCGUAGAGAUCCGGAAGAACACCGGUGGCGAAGGCGGUGAGCUGGGCAGUUGCUGACACUGAGGCGCGACAGCGUGGGGAGCAAACGGG